rnacentral:lncRNA from 1 species
GGUGAAAGACACACUGCAGAAGAAGCUUAUGGCAGCGGGUCACAUCACAUCUGUAGUCAAGACUUAAGCAGAGACUAUUGGAAGCUUAUGCUCAGCACAGUGCCAUCUAUACAGUUCAGAAUCAUAGCCUAGGGAAUGAUGUUUCCCACAAUUGGCAAGUUUUCCCACAUUAAUGAAGUUUAUCAACUAUAGGCUCAGAGGCUGGUCUCCCAGAUGAUUCUAGAUACCACCAAGUUGUCAAUUGAGAUUCGUCAUCACAUCCUUGAAGUGAAUAGUAUAACAAGUUAGCUGGUUGAGGUUCCAUAAGCUUAUAAACAUGACUUGAGAUCCUCAACACUCACAUGAACAGCAGUCAAAGUAAUCAGUAAUCUUAGUGCUGGAGGAAUGGAGACUGGUAGAUCCCAAAGGUUUACAGUUUACUGGCCACAUCUGCCACACAAAUUCCCCAUCUUCCAUAUAUAUACAUAUAUACACAUAUAUGUAUAUAUAUAUAUAAAUGUGUGUGUGUGUGUAUAUAUAUAUAUUAUAUGUAUAUAUAUGACAAAAUCUGAAUCCUGAGGAUAUUAACUGCUUAGAUUGAAAUGUCAAAUAUAGUAUAGGGAAGUUUCUACUCACAGAACUACAAAAGUUCAAUAUUUCUAAUAAAUUUGAACUAGCCCAACAAAUGAUGUGUUCAAAUUCAUAAAAGGGGGACUAUGAAGAAUUUUGAAUUCAAAUACUAAACUAUUGAUUUGAUGAAUUUUCCAUUCUACUAAACUGAAGAAAUUCAGUAUUAGUAAUUUUUCUUCAUAUGUACUUCAGAAGAAUUUGAUAGCUCAGUGUUUGGUCAUGACCAAGACAAGUGACCCCUUGUGACUCUUUAGCAUGUGUAUAGAUAAUAUUCUAACUCUUUUUAAAGCUUUUAUGUAACUUGUUGGAAAAACUCUCCUAAAGAGAAAGAUUUCUGUGUAUACUCCAAUAUAUUACAUAAAACAGACACUCAGGGUGGCUAUUUGUGAAACCAGUCAACUUACAUUUUUUAUAAUCUAAUUUAUUUAUUCACUUUACAACCCAAUAUCAGUUCUUCCUCUCCUGCCAGUCUACCCCCUUCACACAAGUCCUCCCUACAUUCCACCUUCCCCUUCUCUUUUGAGUUUUACUCCCCACUAACAUAAUCCCCUCGCAUCAAGUCACUGUGGAAUUAGGGACAUCCUCUCACACUGAGGUCAGACAAGGCUCCCAUUUAGGGGCAUGAGUCAACAGGCUCAGGAAAAGCCCCUGCUCUAAUUGUUGGGGGACCCACAUGAAGACCAAGCUGUUCAUCAGCUACAUAUGUAUAGGAGGCCUCAGUUCAGCCCAUGCUCACUCUUUGGUUGCUAAUGAGUCUCUGGGAGCCCCCAAGGGUCUAAGUUAGUUGACUCUGUUCUUGUAGUGGGGUCUCUAUUCUUUUUGGGUCCUUCAAUCAAUCUCCCAACUGUUCUGUAAGAUUCCCAGAGCUCUAUCUAAUGUUUGGGUGUGGGUCUCUGCAUCUCUUUCUAUUAGCUGCUGGGUAGAGCCUCUUAGAGAAAAGUUAUACUAGAUUCUUGUCUGCAAGCAUAACAGUUUCAUUAGUGGUGUCUGGGAUUGGUUCUUGACCAUGGGAUGUGUCUCAAUUUGGUGCACUCAUUGAUUUGCUGUUCCACCAGUCUCUGUUUUAUCUUUGUCCCUGCAUAUGAAUUUUUAAAACAAAUGGUAAUAACUUUAAAAAGAGGUAGUUCACAGGUUUAACCAAAUAAAUAGCUGUGUGAUCUAAUAGCCUUUAUGAGCUAAAAUAGUUUGCAAUAUAGCCAGGUACAUAACAUACAUUAAUCACUUAAAGACCUUCUGGGUUCAUAGAAAAACUGACAAGUACUAAGAUUGCUUUUAUUCUUAUUUCCCUCAUUAAUAUACAAUCUGCUCCAAAACACCUCACCACAAUGGGGCACUUAUUACAACUUAUGAGUCUUGACAGGCCAUUAAAACCCCAAGUCCAUAGCUUUCCUCAAUGUUUACUCUUGAUGCUAUACAGCAUAUAACCUACCUGAGAAGAUAUAUAGUGCUAUUAGCAUAAAAUUUACAAAGCAAGCAUUAGUGAUAUUAAUAAGGGUUAGCAAUGAUACCUUCUUAAUCAUUGGACAUUGCCUGAACAUUUCAAAGCAAAGGAAUAACAUCCACUCGCUGUGUUGCAAGUAAUUCCCCAUAGGAUAAACAGGGUCUAAGGGAGUGGGUAACUAUGGAAUAGAUGACAUUUCAGAAAUGGUGAACACCACUGAUUGAACCAGGAACUUGUUGUUCAGAGGAUGAAUCACUGUUAAUCAAGAAGUAAUACGUGGUAAAGAGGAAUGCACAUGGUUCUGGGCAUAUAUCCAGAAGAUGUUCCAACCAGUAAGAAGGACAAAUGCUCCACUAUGUUCAUAGCAGCCUUAUUUAUAAUAGCCAGAAGCUGGAAAGAACCCAGAUGCCCCUCAACAGAGGAAUGGAUACAGAAAAUGUGGUACAUUUACACAAUGGAGUACUACUCAGCUAUUAAAAAGAAUGAAUUUAUGAAAUUCCUUGCCAAAUGGAUGGACCUGGAGGGCAUCAUCCUGAGUG